rfam:Aedes albopictus isolate Foshan contig123081, whole genome shotgun sequence.
UGCCCAGCAACUCCUAUCCCUUCCUCCACGCGGUACCGGCCGGAAACUAUGAGCAACCUUAGGGAAGAUCGGGUAACCAACCCCGGUGGGAACUUUGGUCGUAGGCUGACAGGGAAGG